GAUGAACGCUAGCUACAGGCUUGACACAUGCAAGUCGAGGGGUAACAAGAGGAAAGCUUGCUUUUCUUGUUGACGACCGGCGCACGGGUGAGUAACGCGUAUCCAACCUGCCUAUAACUAGGGAAUAACCUUGCGAAAGUAAGACUAAUACCCUAUGAUUUCCUUUGAUGACAUCAGAUUAGGAAUAAAGAUUUAUCGGUUAUAGAUGGGGAUGCGUCUGAUUAGCUUGUUGGCGGGGUAACGGCCCACCAAGGCAACGAUCAGUAGGGGUUCUGAGAGGAAGGUCCCCCACAUUGGAACUGAGACACGGUCCAAACUCCUACGGGAGGCAGCAGUGAGGAAUAUUGGUCAAUGGGCGGAAGCCUGAACCAGCCAAGUAGCGUGCAGGAUGACGGCCCUAUGGGUUGUAAACUGCUUUUAUACAGGAAUAAAGUUAGCCACGUGUGGUUAUUUGUAGGUACUGUAUGAAUAAGGACCGGCUAAUUCCGUGCCAGCAGCCGCGGUAACAC
rnacentral:rRNA from 1 species